UGAUUGCAGAGGCCAGCGAUAGUGAUCGCUGCCUGACAGACCCUGGCAAGGCAGAGGAGAAGCCCACCUUAGAACCAUGCUCCAAGGCAGCUACGGAUGGACUGCACAUAUAUUGGGAUUUUAAACAGGGGGGAGCUGUCAUAAACAGGGAUACCAAGCGGUGUCUGGAGAUGAAGAAGGACCCUUUGGGUAGCCACGUGCUUGUGCUCCAGACCUGUACCACGCAAGUGUGGGAAAUCCAGCACACCAUCAGAGACUGAGGUCGGACUAACAGCCAGUGAUCCUCAGACAGCGCUGGAUCUAGGACAUUAGUUCUUGCAAGUGGAAUGGCUUCUACUCCCAACUUCUUUCUCAGUGAGAAAGAAAGUGUGUGUGUGUGUGUGUGUGUGUGUGUGUGUGUGUGUUUAUGGUGACUUCAGGUGGGGCCUGUGCGUGUGCUGGGGUGUCUCUGUUGGAGAGAGGAGAGGAAACUCUGAUGCCUCGUUCCCAGCUUCCCUAGGAAGGUCAUGAUAUACAUCAAAUGCCAUUCUUGGAAACUUGAAAUAACCAGCAUCAUUUGGGGAAAGACAUGUUACGUGGGGAAAGAAAGGGGAGGAUGGAAGUUUAUCUUUGACUUCUGCCCACACUGUUUAGCCUUCCUUCCCAACAGCUACCGUCACCAUCUGCCCCACACCUCCUC